UACAACACACGUCACUCGUCAGGUUUGAAUUGUAUUUGCGGGCCAUUUUUGUGUUGACGUUUAUCUCCGUCUGUAAGUGGACAUUUUACUGGAAAAGAUGACAACUUUUGAAUUUUAUAACGUCUUGGAAGAAUAUGUGUCGCCUGAAAAUUUUAAUUCCAUUCGAAUGAAGAGGGAGCGAAAUGAAAUGCGACGUAUGUCUGUGAACUUUAUAAUGGAUACGUAUAGCUUUUUUUACAGUGAAGUAGAAGAGUCCGGUCGUGUUAUGGGGCAGCAGUUAAAGAAGAAGGAAGCAGAAAUGUGUGCCAUGUUGAAGUAGCAGCUGGCCCUCAUGCAUGGCACUUCUAGAAUCCUCCAUCUAAACCUCUGCUCUGAUCUGCUGUGCCUUUGCCAAGUGAUCACGAGUUUAUUGCAGUGGUGCUCCCCUGGGUCUCCACCGUCUGUUAAAUCAACUCCAACUGCCUGUGAUAGAAGAAAAGUUCACAAGACGUCCUGAAAUGGAAUUGUGAUUGGACUGAGAUGGCCACAAUUAUGUAUGCUGGGGUGUGCAGAGGGGGCUGUGUGGGCUUUGGCUUUGGACCCCCAGAGAUUUAUUAUCUCCAGCAUCUUUGAAAGCUCCAAGUUUGUCUUUGUCCCCAGCCAUUUGACCAGGCAGUGUAUUUAUUACAAAGGACAAGGACCCAUCCAUUUGCUUCUUAUUUACUUUCAUAAAACCUUCAAUUUCUUUGUAACUGUAUAUUUUUGUAGAGCAAUUUGAGCUACACUUGUAAGC